rnacentral:lncRNA from 1 species
AUAUACUAAAUGUAUCUAAACAUUAAACAUCUUAUCACAUACUACAUGUAUCUAAAAAUGAAACAUCUAAUCAUCAUAUACUUACAUGUAUCUAAACAUGAAACAUCUUAUCAUCAUAUACUACAUGUAUCUAAAAAUGAAACAACUAAUCAUCAUAUACUACAUGUAUCUAAUAUUAAACAUCUUAUAAUCAUGUAUCUAAAUAUUAAACAUCUUAUCAUCAUGUAUCUAAACAUUAAACAUCUAAUCAUCAUAUACUACAUGUAUCUAAACAUUAAACAUCUUAUAAUAUCUAAAUAUUAAACAUCUUAUCAUCAUUUACUACAUGUAUCUAAACAUUAAACAUCUUAUCAUCAUGUAUCUAAACAUCAAACAUCUUAUUAUCAUGUAUCUAAACAUUAAACAUCUUAUCAUAUACUACAUGUAUCUAAACAUUAAAAAUCUUACCAUCAUCAUGUAUCUAAACAUUAAACAUCUAUCAUCAUAUACCACAUGUAUCUAAACAUUAAACAUCUUAUCAUCAUGUAUCUAAACAUUAAACAUGUUAUCAUCAUAUACUACAUGUAUCAAAACAUGAAACAUCUUAUCAUAUACUACA